CGAGUGUUGUGUACCCAACAACGCCAUCCCCCAGACAUCAGGAAUAUUACGAGGAGUACACACCAGAGGAGUACUUCGAGCCGGACGAGGAGGCCACGGUGUGCAUUGGGAAUCUACCGUAUGACAUUGACAAGAAGGACCUUGCCCUGCUCUUCAAGGAUGUUGGCAUCGUCAUGUUUUCGGAGAUCAUUUAUGACAGGGAAACAGGCGAGAGCUGUGGAUAUGGGUUUGUCACCAUGAGUACUGCUGAGGAGGCCAAGAAGGCUGUGGAGAUGUACAAUCGCCGUGUGAGUAUGUUUUAUAAAUGGUAGCUUGGUGCGGCUACUCUCCGUAAGUUAAAAAGGGCCUAUUCUUCUAUCGUAGCUGCAGCUACUGUGCUCAGAGUUGAGCAAGUAUAUGAUUGCAGUAUGGAUGGAGUGUCUUCCCCAGGUUUGUAUUUGCACACCUUUCAUGUAAUAGGAUACAGUGGUGAUGUGUUGUGGUACUGGUUUCUGGUUUGCAUACAAAGUUAAUCAUUUUCAUGACAGUUCCCUUGGUUUCUGAUUUUUGGAACUCCUUAAUCUGAAGCCCAACCCAAUACAUAUCCUCAUUCUGCCAAUUUGUUUACUAGAUCAUGCAACGACAUGCCAUCUAUAUGAGACUGUUCUUUGACAUAAUUUGCUUCUUCUAGUUGUUAUUACUUCUCGAGGCCAGUGUCACGUGUAAUCGCUAUGCUUAAGAAUGUAAUAAUGGAAGUUUUCAUGCUUUGCUGAUUUACCUUUAAUUUGAACAUGCAGGAGAUGGACGGCAGGCCCCUGACUGUGUACAAGACAGCUGCUACCAGAGGUGCCCAGACAGAAGAAACGCCGUCUCCCCACCCCUGUCGAUCAGAGUCUUCUUCGUUCAAGAUCUAUGUGGACAAUCUUCCCUGGAAAGUGAGCAACUCAAACCUGAAGCAGCUGUUCAGUGACUAUGGUGAAGUGGUCGGUGCCAAAGUUGUUUACCACCGCGGAAGAGAAGCCGGGCGCUCCCCAUUCGGUUUUGUCACGAUGGCGACGCGGCAGGAAUCGGAGAAUGCCAUUUGGCACCUCAACAAGCAGGUUUGGUGGGGACGCAAACUGCGAGUGCAAGUCGCAAGAGAGGAAGGGACACGGUGAGGGUUUUAGGUGCUGGGCUUUGCAGGUUUAGGUAGGAGCAUCAUAGCACGCGUGAUACUGGUCUAGAUUCAGA